ACAGAGGGGGCAAGCGUUGUUCGGAAUUACUGGGUGUAAAGGGUGCGUAGGCGGUUUGGUAAGUCAGAUGUGAAAUCUCGGAGCUCAACUCCGAAACUGCAUUUGAUACUGCCAGGCUAGAGUAUGAAAGAGGAAGAUGGAAUUCUCGGUGUAAGAGUGAAAUCUGCAGAUAUCGAGAGGAACACCAGUAGCGAAGGCGAUCUUCUGGUUCAAUACUGACGCUGAGUGCACGAAAGCUAGGGGAGCAAACGG
rnacentral:rRNA from 1 species